rnacentral:misc_RNA from 1 species
AAGUCGUAACAAGGUUUCCGUAGGUGAACCUGCGGAAGGAUCAUUACCUAGAGUUGUAGGCUUUGCCUGCUAUCUCUUACCCAUGUCUUUUGAGUACCUUACGUUUCCUCGGCGGGUCCGCCCGCCGAUUGGACACUUUAAACCAUUUGCAGUUGCAAUCAGCGUCUGAAAAAACUUAAUAGUUACAACUUUCAACAACGGAUCUCUUGGUUCUG